rfam:TPA: Bos taurus chromosome X, whole genome shotgun sequence.
UUCCUGGUGGUCCAGUGGUUAAGACUUUGCCUUCCAAUGCAGGGGUACAGGUUUGAUCCCUGGCCAGGGAG